AUUGAACGCUGGCGGCAGGCCUAACACAUGCAAGUCGAGCGGAGCGGCGGACGGGUGCGUAAUGCCUAGGAAUCUGCCUGGUCGUGGGGGAUAACGUCAGGUAACGGGAGCUAUUACCGCAUCCUCUCACAUGAGCCUAGGUCGGAUUGGCUAGUUGGUGGGGUAAAGGCCUACCAAGGCGACGAUCCGUAACUGGUCUUAGAGGAUGAUCAGUCACACUGGAACUGAGACACGGUCCAGACUCCUACGUGAGGCAGCAGUGGGGAAUAUUGGACAAUGGGCGAAAGCCUGAUCCAGCCAUGCCGCGUGUGUGAAGAAGGUCUUCGGAUUGUAAAGCACUUUAAGUUGGGAGGCGUUACCAACAGAAUAAGCACCGGCUAACUUCGUGCCAGCAGCCGCGGUAAUUC
rnacentral:rRNA from 1 species